AGUGAACGCUGGCGGUAGGCCUAACACAUGCAAGUCGAACGGCAGCACAGUAAGAGCUUGCUCUUACGGGUGGCGAGUGGCGGACGGGUGAGGAAUACAUCGGAAUCUACUUUUUCGUGGGGGAUAACGUAGGGAAACUUACGCUAAUACCGCGUACGACCUACGGGUGAAAGCAGGGGAUCUUCGGACCUUGCGCGAUUGAAUGAGCCGAUGUCGGAUUAGCUAGUUGGCGGGGUAAAGGCCCACCAAGGCGGCGAUCCGUAGCUGGUCUGAGAGGAUGAUCAGCCACACUGGAACUGAGACACGGUCCAGACUCCUACGGGAGGCAGCAGUGGGGAAUAUUGGACAAUGGGCGCAAGCCUGAUCCAGCCAUACCGCGUGGGUGAAGAAGGCCUUCGGGUUGUAAAGCCCUUUUGUUGGGAAAGAAAAGCAGCAGGUUAAUACCCCGCUGUUCUGACGGUACCCAAAGAAUAAGCACCGGCUAACUUCGUG
rnacentral:rRNA from 1 species